AUUGAACGCUGGCGGCAGGCCUAACACAUGCAAGUCGAACGAGUGGCGGACGGGUGAGUAAUGUCUGGGAAACUGACUGAUGGAGGGGGAUAACUGCGGGAAACGGUAGCUAAUCCCGCAUACAAUCAGAUGUGCCCAGAUGGGAUUAGCUAGUUGGUGGGGUAACGGCUAACCAAGGCGACGAUCCCUAGCUGGUCUGAGAGGAUGACCAUCCACACUGGAACUGAGACACUGUCCCGACUCCUACGGGAGGCAGCAGUGUGGAAUAUUUCACAAUGGGCGCAAGCCUGAUGCAGACAUGCCGCGUGUAUGAAGAAGGCCUUCGGGUUGUAAAGUACUUUCAGCGGGGAGGCGUUACCCGCAGAAGAAGCACCGGCUAACUCCGUGCCAGCAGCCGCGGUAAUAC
rnacentral:rRNA from 1 species